UCAUACUACUAAUGCACCGGAUUCCAUCAAAACUCUGCAGUUAAGCGUGCUUGGGAGAGAGUAAUAUUAGGAUGGGUGACCUCCUGGGAAGUUU